rnacentral:tRNA from 1 species
CGGGGUGUAGCGCAGCUUGGUAGCGCGUUGCGUUCGGGACGCAAAGGCCGGCGGUUCAAGUCCGCCCACCCCGACAA